AGACAGGAAGAAGAUUAAAGGAAGGGGCUUUGUGUGGAGGUGGAAUAAUGAGGGCUGUCCAAUAGACAGGAAGAAGAUUACAGGAAGGGGCUUUGUGUGGAGGUGGAAUCAUGAGGGCUGGCCAAUAGACAGGAAGAAGAUUAAAGGAAGGGGCUUUGUGUGGAGGUGGAAUAAUGAGGGCUGUCCAAUAGACAGGAAGAAGAUUACAGGAAGGGGCUUUGUGUGGAGGUGGAAUCAUGAGGGCUGGCCAAUAGACAGGAAGAAGAUUACAGGAAGGGGCUUUGUGUGGAGGUGGAAUAAUGAGGGCUGUCCAAUAGACAGGAAGAAGAUUACAGGAAGGGGCUUUGUGUGGAGGUGGAAUCAUGAGGGCUGGCCAAUAGACAGGAAGAAGAUUACAGGAAGGAGCUUUGUGUGGAGGUGGAAUCAUGAGGGCUGGCCAAUAGACAGGAAGAAGAUUACAGGAAGGGGCUUUGUGUGGAGGUGGAAUAAUGAGGGCUGUCCAAUAGACAGGAAGAAGAUUACAGGAAGGGGCUUUGUGUGGAGGUGGAAUCAGGAGGGCUGGCCAAUAGACAGGAAGAAGAUUACAGGAAGGAAGUUUGUUUCCUUCCCUCUAGAAUAAUUGAAAUGACCUGAUACUAUUGAAGUUAUACAGUAGGCUGCACAGCAGUUUAGAAAGCAACAUGUCUGUACCUGGAACUUCGAAAUACACAUACUGUUAAUGAAUCAGAAAGACACGUUGAUUUGUAGAGGAAGUAAAUGAUGAACUCAUUGAAUAGUACUACACCCACUCAUCUCAGGUGCAGACACCAGACACCCAAUUCUGAUUGAUCUCUGAUUAGUGAUCAAUAACAGAUGAUAAUGUACAGGUGGGCUGUAAAUAACCCACCCAACUACCUACCUCAUCCCCAUAUUGUUUUUAUUUACGUAUUUGCUCUUUUGCACACCAGUAUUUCUACUUGCACAUCUGUCACUCCAGUGUUAAUUGCUAGUCUCUGGUCCAGAAUCAACAUGUUGAUUCUUCCUCUGUAGCUGGAGUUUCUGGUCCAGAAUCAACAUGUUGAUGCUUCCUCUGUAGCUGGAGUCUCUGGUCCAGAAUCAACAUGUUGAUUCUUCCUCUGUAGCUGGAGUUUCUGGUCCAGAAUCAACAUGUUGAUUCUUCCUCUGUAGCUGGAGUCUCUGGUCCAGAAUCAACAUGUUGAUUCUUCCUCUGUAGCUGGAGUCUCUGGUCCAGAAUCAACAUUUUGAUUAUACCUCUGUAGCUGGAGUUUCUGGUCCAGAAUCAACAUUUUGAUUAUUCCU